AAUUUUAGACAAUGGGUGAAACCCUGAUCCAGCCAUCCCGCGUGUAUGAUGAAGGCCUUCGGGUUGUAAAGUACUUUUGGCAGAGAAGAAAAGGUAUCUCCUAAUACGAGAUACUGCUGACGGUAUCUGCAGAAUAAGAACCGGCUAACUACGUGCCAGCAGCCGCGGUAAUACGUAGGGUGCAAGGGUUAAUCGGAAUUACUGGGCGUAAAGCGCGUGUAGGCGGUUCGGAAAUAAAGCUGUGAUAUCCCAGAGCUCAACCUUGGAACUGCAUUUUUAACUGCCGAGCUAGAGUAGGUCAGAGGGGGGUAGAAUUCCACGUGUAGCAUCGAAAUGCGUAGAUAUGUGGAGGAAUACCGAUGGCGAAGGCAGCCCCCUGGGAUAAUACUGACGCUCAGACACGAAAGCGUGGGGAGCAAACAGG
rnacentral:rRNA from 1 species